rnacentral:lncRNA from 1 species
CUGACCAGUAACAGGGGUUAUUUGUUAUUGUAGUUUGGUCAGGACGUGGCAGGGGGUGUUUGUUUUAUGUGGUUCGGGCUAUGUAUUUAGGUAGAGGGGUGUUUGGUUUAUGUGGUUCGGGCUAUGUAUUUAGGUAGAGGGGUGUUUGGUUUAUGUGGUUCGGGCUAUGUAUUUAGGUAGAGGGGUGUUUGGUUUAUGUGGUUCGGGCUAUGUAUUUAGGUAGAGGGGUGUUUGUUUUAUGUGGUUCGGGCUAUGUAUUUAGGUAGAGGGGUGUUUGGUUUAUGUGGUUCGGGCUAUGUAUUUAGGUAGAGGGGUGUUUGGUUUAUGUGGUUCGGGCUAUGUAUUUAGGUAGAGGGGUGUUUGGUUUAUGUGGUUCGGGCUAUGUAUUUAGGUAGAGGGGUGUUUGUUUUAUGUGGUUCGGGCUAUGUAUUUAGGUAGAGGGGUGUUUGGUUUAUGUGGUUCGGGCUAUGUAUUUAGGUAGAGGGGUGUUUGUUUUAUGUGGUUCGGGCUAUGUAUUUAGGUAGAGGGGUGUUUGGUUUAUGUGGUCCGGGGUUUGUUAGUCUAUGUUCUAUGUUAGUGUAUUUCUAUGUUCUGUCUUGUCUAUUGUAGUUCUAUGUUUAGUUAAUUGGGGUUGGACCUUCAAUUGGAGUCAGCUGGUUAUCGUUGCCUCUGAUUGAAGGUCCUAUAAUUAGGAGU